rnacentral:rRNA from 1 species
GACGAACGCUGGCGGCGUGCUUAACACAUGCAAGUCGAACGGAAAGGCCCUGCUUUUGUGGGGUGCUCGAGUGGCGAACGGGUGAGUAACACGUGAGUAACCUGCCCUUGACUUUGGGAUAACUUCAGGAAACUGGGGCUAAUACCGGAUAGGAGCUCCUGCUGCAUGGUGGGGGUUGGAAAGUUUCGGCGGUUGGGGAUGGACUCGCGGCUUAUCAGCUUGUUGGUGGGGUAGUGGCUUACCAAGGCUUUGACGGGUAGCCGGCCUGAGAGGGUGACCGGCCACAUUGGGACUGAGGUACGGCCCAGACUCCUACGGGAGGCAGCAGUGGGGAAUAUUGCACAAUGGGCGGAAGCCUGAUGCAGCAACGCCGCGUGCGGGAUGACGGCCUUCGGGUUGUAUACCGCUUUCGCCUGUGACGAAGCGUGAGUGACGGUAAUGGGUAAAGAAGCACCGGCUAACUACGUG